rnacentral:lncRNA from 1 species
GUUGCCACCGAGCCCCAGGUCCACUGCUGCCCUCCUGCCCCAGCGCAGCCAAGGCUGAGCCCCCAGGCAAAGCGGGGAUGGGCUCUGCAGAGCUGCUGGGAGCACGCAGCCCUCCCUCCACCAGCUGCCUUCUCGCUCACACCAGCGCCCGGCUCAGCCCCUGCUGACAAGCCACUUAUCAGCAGUUAUCAGGUCUUGGCUGGAGGCAGAAGAAAACAAACACAUCGUUUGACAAAUGCAGGCCCUACUGCAGUCCCUACUGGAACUCCUAUAGCUCCUGUAAGAUCAGCACUAUGCCCUGUACUUCAAGUCUAUUUCUGCAAGCGCUUCCUAUUGAAAAAGCUUCAAGUCCCCCUUGCAUUCAGCAGCAAUCCCUGCUCUUCCAGAUCCCUGCCCCACAGGGGCACGUGGACCAGCAGGCAGCUCUCCAUCAGUAUGCAGUCUGAGAGGGACUCAGGGAAAAAGCAACCCUCUCACCUCACCCACCGUGGCAGAAUGCAGGCACUGCUGCGAGGUGCUGCAGCUGAUGUGUGCCCUGCAGAACAGCUGCAGGCAGAGGGCAGCUCCGUGCUCAGCCAGGAGCAGCUCCAGGCACCCCGGCCUGCCAGGUCCAUGCCUUGCCAAGCACACUGCACAAGUCAGGCCCAUUCGUUUUGUAGCUGUUUUCAACGUGUCAGAUACCA